rnacentral:misc_RNA from 1 species
CCGAGUUUACAACUCCCAAACCCCUGUGAACAUACCUACUUGUUGCCUCGGCGGAUCAGCCCGGCGCCCUCGGGAAACGGAUCAGGCGCCCGCCAGAGGACCCCUAAACUCUGUAUUUCUAUAUGUAUCUUCUGAGUAAACCAGCAAAUAAAUCA